ensembl:lincRNA
GAGCCCAUUUAUUUUUUUGUUCCUCCAUGUAACCCCACAAAAAAUCACGUUUGUUCAAGAUAGCUUCAGUGAGACUCUAUCAAAUUGAAACGAACUGCAGGAACAGACACUUUUUCUCAGUGCAUGGCUGCCACUCUUGGAGAGCAGGAAAGAUGUGCAGUAGGAGCACCUGAGCGGCUCUUCACCACAGCUCAGGAGGGGAGGGGAGGACUCUGAGGCUCAGGAGGAGAGGGGAGGACUCCAUGCCUCAGGAAAAAUGGGAAGAAUACCACAAAGUCUGUGCAAGUUUUUACUUGGCAAGUGGCAUUUCCCUGGGUGAUCCUGAGACACAGACUUCCUCUGUCUUACCUGCCAUCCCUUGGAUCUUACAUUAUCUGCAUCAAGUGGGCAGAGUGGAAAGAGAAUAGGAAGUUCCGAUCUAGAAGGCACAUUUCUGCACAUAUUCCAAUUGUGAGAACAAGCCACAUGGCCACACUUAGAAGCAAACAAAGCUGGGAAACAUGGUCUCUGGCUGGGCAGCCAGUUAUCAGCAGUAACUCUUUUCAGAUGCUCUUCAACCUACAAUGUGGCUCUGUCCCAAUAAACCCAUUGUAAGUUAAAAAUAUCAUAAAUUGAAACGCAU